UACAGAGGGUGCAAACGUUGUUCGGAAUUACUGGGCGUAAAGCGCGUGCAGGCGGCCUUGCAAGUCGGACGUGAAAUCCCACGGCUCAACCGUGGAAGUGCAUUCGAAACUGCGAGGCUGGAGUCCUGGAGAGGAAAGUGGAAUACUCGGUGUAGAGGUGAAAUUCGUAGAUAUCGAGUGGAACACCGGUGGCGAAGGCGGCUUUCUGGACAGG
rnacentral:rRNA from 1 species